UGAGGAAUAUUGGUCAAUGGGGCGGAAGCCUGAACCAGCCAAGUAGCGUGCAGGACGACGGCCCUAUGGGUUGUAAACUGCUUUUAUGCGGGGAUAAAGUGGGCCACGCGUGGCCUUUUGCAGGUACCGCAUGAAUAAGGACCGGCUAAUUCCGUGCCAGCAGCCGCGGUAAUACGGAAGGUCCGGGCGUUAUCCGGAUUUAUUGGGUUUAAAGGGAGCGUAGGCCGGAGAUUAAGCGUGUUGUGAAAUGUAGACGCUCAACGUCUGCACUGCAGCGCGAACUGGUUUCCUUGAGUACGCACAAAGUGGGCGGAAUUCGUGGUGUAGCGGUGAAAUGCUUAGAUAUCACGAAGAACUCCGAUUGCGAAGGCAGCUCACUGGAGCGCAACUGACGCUGAAGCUCGAAAGUGC
rnacentral:rRNA from 1 species